GACGAACGCUGGCGGCGUGCUUAACACAUGCAAGUCGAACGGAAAGGCCCCUUUGGGGGUACUCGAGUGGCGAACGGGUGAGUAACACGUGCGUAACCUGCCCUUGACUUCGGGAUAACUUCAGGAAACUGGGGCCAAUACCGGAUAGGAAUCAUUGCUGCAAGGUGGGGGUUGGAAAGUUUCGGCGGUUUUGGCUGGACUCGCGGCGUAUCAGCUUGCUGGUGGGGUAGUGGCUUACCAAGGCUUUUACGGGUAGCCGGCCUGAGAGGGCGACCGGCCACACUGGGACUGAGAGACGGCCCAGGCACCUACGGGAGGCAGCAGGGGGGAAGAUUGCAGGAGCGGCGGAGGGCGAGUGCUGCAACGCCGCGGACGGGGUGACGGCCUUAGGGGUGUAAACCGCUUUCAGCAGGGGCGAAGCUUGUGGUGACGGUACCUGCAGAGGAAGCACCGGCUAACUACGUG
rnacentral:rRNA from 1 species